ACUAGACAAGCAAAAUCGUGAAGUUAUUUUUAGGGAGACAAAGAAAUUUAAAUGGCAACACUCAAAAUAAGUUGUCACUGUUCCAAUCCAAUUUGUAAUGAAAUGGUUUUGUAAUAAAUCUUUUUUUUUAUUUGAUUCUAAAUGUAGAAAUUUGAUUAGAUACAUACCUAUGAACGUCACUUGCGACUUUGUCUUGCAGGCACAAAAUAGUGAAUUCAACUAAAGCAAAGCUAAAGCUAUUGAAAUGAAGUUCCGGUUUGGGAAUCAGUGAUGAAAAUUGCAUGCGAAUGGAUUAUCACUUCAGGAACCAGUCUCUAGCUACUAGAAGUAACAAUAUAGUAUGGGGCAGGACAAUGAGAUGAGAUAUGGUCAAUGCAUCUCAUUACCCAAUUAAAAUAUUUUGAGGUAAAAAUGGUAUCAAUUUUUAUACCUGCCUCAAUGGAUACAGACACAAGCUACGAAAAUCUUUUUAAUAGUAAUAAAUCCUCAUAAAAAAGAAA